rnacentral:lncRNA from 1 species
GAGAUUUCAACUUGGUCCGGCUGGGGAGAAAAUAUAUAUGAUCUAACCGGGCAGUCAUCAAGAUGCUUCAGGAUAUCAAGAAAUUACUAUAGACUACCGAUCACCCUUUAGAACUUUUCAAGUAAUCAAAGCAAUGCAUAAAGUUUUCCUUUAAUGUAGUUUUUAUUAUUCUCAAAGUUUUAUACCAUUAUGUGAUCAAAACAAAUAAGUUAUUUUGCAAACAAAAUGCAAGAGAAAUAAAAA